rnacentral:pre_miRNA from 1 species
AUUAUACUCCUUCUGUCCUAAAAUACUUGUUGGAGAAAUGAAUGUAUCUAGAUGUAUUUAGAUACAUCUAUUUUUAUCCAUUUUUAUGAUAAGUAUUUCCAGACGGAGGGAGUAGUAC